rnacentral:rRNA from 1 species
CCUACGGUGGGCUGCAGUGAGGAAUAUUGGUCAAUGGACGAGAGUCUGAACCAGCCAAGCAGCGUGAAGGAUGACUGCCCUAUGGGUUGUAAACUUCUUUUAUAUGGGAAUAAAACAGGGUAUGCAUACCCUCUUGUAUGUACCAUAUGAAUAAGGAUAGGCUAACUCCGUGCCAGCAGCCGCGGUAAUACGGAGGAUCCGAGCGUUAUCCGGAUUUAUUGGGUUUAAAGGGAGCGUAGGUGGGUUGUUAAGUCAGUUGUGAAAGUUUGCGGCUCAACCGGAGAAUUGCAGUUGAAACUGGCAGUCUUGAGUACAGUAGAGGUGGGCGGAAUUCGUGGUGUAGCGGUGAAAUGCUUAGAUAUCUGGAAGAACUCCGAUUGCGAAGGCGGCUCACUGGACUACAACUGACACUGAGGCGCGAAAGUGUGGGUAGCAAACAGGAUUAGAUACCCCAGUAGUC